CAUUUUGCAUCAUGUCCACAAAACCAAAAAGUAAAGAAAAAAGAAUAAUCAGUGGUUGCGCCCCUAAACAUUGUCUCCUGGUUGCUCAUGCAGCCUAACAAG